rnacentral:rRNA from 1 species
AUGAUCCUACGCGACAGCAAUGGAGCUAUAAUCUUUGCAUCGUGCAGACUACUGACCACAUGUGCAAGUGCUCUGGAGGCGGAAGUAGCUGCGUGCAUGGAAGGAAUCGCUCUCACCCUUGAGUGGUCUACGUUGCCUUUCAUUUUGGAAACUGAUAGUACCAUUGCUGCAAGCAUGAUUGGUGACAGUGAGCAAAAUAAAUCCCCUGUUGCUGCACUAGUUGAUGAAGCUAAGCGGCUUCUAGCACUAGGUCGUGAGUACGUGUUAUCACGUGUUAGUAGAAGUAAGAAUAAAGCUAGUCACGCCCUAGCCCAGCUAGGGAUCUCUGAACCACGUACUGCUGUGUGGCUUCGUCAUGGACCUGAUGAUAUUGGCGUCAUUUGCCAACAGGAUUGUACUGAUCUUUCUUAA